UAAACGACUCUCGGCAACGGAUAUCUCGGCUCACGCAUCGAUGAAGAACGUAGCAAAAUGCGAUACUUGGUGUGAAUUGCAGAAUCCCGUGAACCAUCGAGUUUUUGAACGCAAGUUGCGCCCGAUGCCAUCUGGUUGAGGGCACGUCUGCCUGGGCGUCACGC
rnacentral:rRNA from 1 species